AUUCUGCAUAUAGAGCAGUGGUCCAGUCAAGCAGGGGUGGGUGGAAACGGGGUGUGGGGUUUGGGUGUGUGUAGGGCAGGGGCGCUGGGGAGGCCCUGAUGGCACUGGCGCUCAUUGCCUUUAUAAUCGCCAUCCCCACAACCACCCCCAAGCUGGCUGGAAUUCUUCUGAGGGAUUGAUGGUACCAUAGGCAGUGUGAAGAAAGGAACCGUUCCGGCUCAGGCUGGCUCCUCUCACGUCUCACAGACCCCUUUUCUCGUAGAUCUGCUCUUCACUGGGACUCCUCUUCCAACGCUGGGCACUUUCUGAGAGGUUUUUUUUUUUUUUUUUUUUUGAAUGCUGGAAAAUAGCUGUUGUCCCCUACUUUCUGGCAUUUAUAUCACCUCUAAAAAGAAAAGCUGGUGAAAGAAGAAAAAGACAAGAGGCAGUGAUACAUUUUUAAAUUUGAUUGGGAAAUCAGUGUUCAGUAUGACUGGAAAAAAGAAGAUGAAGAAGAGGAGAAGGAAGAAAAGGAGGAGGAGGUGAAAGAAGAGAAGGGAGAAGAAGAGGAAAGAAAGGAAAGGAAAGGAAAGAAAAGAAAAGAAGGAAACAAAACAAAGACAGACUAGGUUCCAGGUUCCAGUGUGUCCAGAACUGGAAAGCUUGAGCCAGGGUUACUAUUUGAAAAUAAUGCCAUUUGUCCUCACUUUGUUCUCACUGAAUUCAGUUCACACUGGCUUGGUAGAUUUGUAAUUGGUGGUGACAGCAACGGAGCAGUAUGUAGACUUGGAAUCUGCGCCCACGAGGAUGGGUCCUGCCAGAGCCUGCUGGGGGAGGGAGAGCCAUUACCCUUCGACUCAAAAGCCAGAUUUUGUAUUUUUUGGCAGAUGCACUCUGACCUUUGAAAAGUCCCAAAAGUAGCCAUAAAAGUAGGUCAUAAGGUGGUGGCUUUUGAGUCAUAGGAGCCACAAAGAAAGCUUCCUAACUGUCGAUGGCAAAAGAAUUCCCAAGGAGGAAGAGGAGACAGGUGUGAGAGAAGUUAGGAAGCCCAAAGCAAGAGCACUUGCCAUUCACUGCUUAACUAAAGAGAGCUCCAAGAGUUCAAAGAGCCUCCUGGCAACCCAUCUAGACUAGCACACUCGUAGGGUGCCAUCCAAGAAAAGCAGGGCUGCAGGUGAUAGGAAAUCAGGGCUGUGUUCAAUAUGAGGCCCCUGGGGGGGGGGCACUUGGAUAGUUCUGCUAGCUAGGAAUCCAGAGUAGAAAUCUGUUUUGUUUUUUGUUUUUUAAAAAGUUACAUAUGUUUGAGAGUCAUCAACACACAGAUGGUAAUGGAAGUCAUGCUACCAACAGACAAACCAUAAAGUGAAAGACAUAAAGGGCUGAGGGGCAAACAUAUUAGGAAAGGUGGACAUUGUGCAGGACACAGAAGAGCUUAUGGUUAUAAGUGAUACCCACCAGGAGAUAUAAAGGUCUAAGAAAAUGGAGGGUCUCAAGAAACUGAAAACUGUGUCUGUUUCCAGAGCAACUCUCCUCCUCACUCCACCCCCCCACUCCCCGGCCCCAGCUGCCAGCCGACGACAUCACAAGCCCCGAGUGGUACCACUCUGCACUUCUCUCUUCUGAGUACAUGACUCUUAGUAAGAGAUCAAGGUAGCUGGAGACCACCUCACUGAACCAUGCAGCAAGAGGUCAUCUUCUACUCUCCUGUCUUAGCAGAGGACUGUUGUGUUGAAACAACCCUCCUUGGCAACAAGUUGCAUUCAGUAAAUCCACUAGCCACUCGGAGUCCCUUCCCCAAGUCCCAGAUUCCCUGGGCCCUUGGAAGUCGUGAGUUUGGAUGUGGGGAGCUGGAGAAGGAUGCCUGCGGCCUCUAGCUGAGGCCACUAGCUGCAAGAAGACACUGUUACACAGUGAGGCUCUUCUGGGGAUGUAAGAAAGGCCCUAAAGUCAUGCCUUCUUCUGAUCGUCUGUGAAGAUGCUAGAUCUACUGAGAAAAACCUUUUUUAUCCAAGAGAGAAGAUGACCGGGAAAGCUCACACACAGCAUCUCUCUCGAGUGCGUCCGGAGAAGACAAGCAGUCAUGGGUCCUACCAUAGCAGGGAAUUUAACUGAACUGCAUGGCACGUGCCUUAGAGGGUGAAGGGUCCUCAGCCAGGAGAGGCUUCUGGUAUAAGCUGGAUGUGGAUUCUGGCCAUGGCAAAGGCUCAUGGACCCAGAAGGCACUUGUCAGUCAGGAUUCAAUCAUGGAGGCGGAGACAAUAGGAGACAGAUGUGUGCAGAUCUUCAGCACUCAUGGUAUUUAUUGUACCAAUGUGCCUCUGCAAAGCCAUCUCUGCAGUAAUGCUGGAGACCAGAGCUUGCACUUGGGUAGUCGGGAAAUAGGGGCAUGAGCAGAAUGGAACUUCACAAGCAACAGGCAGGCACCACACCCCCACAGCCAGGCUGACCUACUUCGGGUCAUUUUCCCUGACUUUGGUAACGGGGAUAUCCUGUCCAAGCCAGGAUUCUUUCCAUGUCGGAAACUGAGCACAGAUAGACCUAACAGGGACCUCAGAGAAAACAAGGGAUGUUUAAGGGGGAAGCGGUGAGCUAUCACAGGUCAAGUUGUUGCUUCAUACCAAGCCAGUGGAUCAAUGGAUUAGAGACA
rnacentral:lncRNA from 1 species